AACGAACGCUGGCGGCGCGCCUAAUACAUGCAAGUCGAGCGAGAAGACGUAGCAAUACGUUUGUAAAGCGGCGAACGGGUGAGGAAUACAUGGGUAACCUACCCUCGAGUGGGGAAUAACUAGCCGAAAGGUUAGCUAAUACCGCGUACGCUCCUUGGACUUCGGUUCAGGGAGGAAAGCGAUACCGCGGGUAUCGCGCUCUUGGAUGGGCUCAUGUCCUAUCAGCUUGUUGGUGAGGAACGGCUCACCAAGGCUUCGACGGGUAGCUGGUCUGAGAGGACGAUCAGCCACACUGGCACUGCGACACGGGCCAGACUCCUACGGGAGCAGCAGUAAGGAAUAUUGCGCAAUGGGCGAAAGCCUGACGCAGCGACGCCGCGUGGGGGAUGAAGGUCUUCGGAUUGUAAACCCCUUUCGGGAGGGAAGAUGGAACGAGCAAUCGUUCGGACGGUACCUCCAGAAGCAG
rnacentral:rRNA from 1 species